AUGUCGUCAUCACCGAUGCACCGGAAGCGCCCAUCCGCCGUGCGUGCGCGCGGCAGCAAGCGCCCUCGACGCACAGCCGCCGCCGCCGCCUCGGACGCGUCUGGGUGGGCGUCUCUGCACGCAGAUUUAGUUCGUCUGGUCGGGUGGAGGGUGCUGGCCGGCGACAUCCGGGACUACGUCCGAUUCCGCGCCGUCUGCCCCCACUGGCGGUCAAGCUCGUUCUCCCCGCGCGGCCGCGGCGUCGUCGACCCGCGGUUCUACCCGCGCAGGUGGAUGAUGCUGCCCGAGGGCCACGGCCUGUACCCUGGCCACGGCAGGCUGCGCGGGUACAUCCGCUUCUUCAACCUCUCCACCGGCGUCAUCGUCCGCUGCCUGCUCCCGCUUUUCAAGAACCACUGCGUCCUCGACUCCGUCGACGGUCUCCUCCUCCUGCAACGGGACGAAGACACGGCCAUCCGUCUCCUUCACCCCUUCACCGGCGACAUUGCAGACCUCCCGCCGCUCGCGACCCUCCUACGUCUUCCCGGAGCCAGCUUGACCAUCAACGAAAUGGCCCGGGCGUAUUUUAGAAACAUCGGUGCCACCUCCGUUAGUGUUAGGGCAGAUGGGGUCAUCACUGUCAUGAUUGUAAUUUAUAACAUAUCCAUGUUAGCCUUUGCUACCUCCAACUCCAAGGACCGUCAAUGGAAUGUUCCAAACUGGAAGCUCCCACCAAUUGGGAGGCUAAUAUCAUCCCAAGGCAAGCUAUACAUGAUGGACAGUCCCACAUUUGACACCGUUGUUCAUGGUGACACUCAGAUUUUCCAGAUCAGCCCGCCCGAGCACGAGGGGAUGGGAUCGGGUUCGUCUCCGAUGCCAUCAAAGAAGUUGAUUGCCACAUGCCCGGCCGGCAAAAUGCCUGCCCCUCAAUACCUGGCACAAUGUGACUCGGAGAUCCUCGUGAUUGGGUAUAAGGACGGAUUCUUUACACACCCCUUGGUUUACAGACUCUCCGACCUUGUUCUUGACAGGAUCGUCCCGGUAACUAGUAUCGAAGGCAAUGUUCUAUUCAUUGCUGAAAGGAUUCUGAGUGUGGGCCGUAGUGCCUUGCCGAACCUUGCUGGUGACUCCAUUGUAAUCGUUCAUCCCCGCGAAGUAUAUUUGGCGGAAUGCCGCCUCAAUACAGACACAUGGUUACAGGCAGCGGAUGGAUGUAUCGCGAGGUGUAAUUUAUCGAGGCCUUACAGCCUCAUUUAUCAUAUCUUCUCUUGUUGCCACCGUGCUUCUUGUAUAAGAAUCAGAAUAAUUGGAAGGUGA
rnacentral:rRNA from 1 species